AGAGUUUGAUCAUGGCUCAGAUUGAACGCUGGCGGCAUGCUUAAUACAUGCAAGUCGAACGGUAACAGAUUCUUCGGAAUGCUGACGAGUGGCGGACGGGUGAGUAAUACAUAGGAAUCUGCCCAUGUAGUGGGGGACAACUUGGGGAAACUCAAGCUAAUACCGCAUAAUUCCUACGGGAUAAAGAGGGCCACUGCUUGCAAGCUCUUGCUACUGGAUGAGCCUAUGUCGGAUUAGUUAGUUGGUAAGGUAAUGGCUUACCAAGACAGCGGUCCGUAGCUGGUUUGAGAGGAUGAUCAGCCACACUGGGACUGAGACACGGCCCAGACUCCUACGGGAGGCAGCAGUAGGGAGUAUUGGACAAUGGGCGCAAGCCUGAUCCAGCAAUGCCGCGUGUGUGAAGAAGGCCUGCGGGUUGUAAAGCACUUUCAAUUGGGAAGAAAGAUUAUGAGUUAAUACCUUAUAAUAUUGACGU
rnacentral:rRNA from 1 species